GUGCUCACUUCAGCAGCACAUAUGCUAAAAUUGAAACAAUACGGAGAAGAUUAGCAUUGCCCCUGCACAAAGAUAACACACAAAUUCAUGAAGCAUUCCAUAUUUUU
rnacentral:snRNA from 1 species